UAAGUUAGAUAAGGUAGAGCAUUGUAUAAUCUUAGAAACAUUUACUAUACAAAAGCAAACAUUUAGGAAGAGUCAGAAAUUGUGAUCCUGGAUAUUAUCCCAUAGAUGUUCAGCAAGCUUUGGAAAGAACUAUAGAGUUUUAUGAAGGCUGCUAUUGGCUAGAGAGUUUAAUGACUAUACUGCAUUUAGUAACCAUGGUAAUGCUCAUGUUUUUCUUUGAGAAUUUGAAAUAGCUGUACAAUAUUACUAGUAAGAAAAUUUCAAGCAUAAUUUUUUUUCAGAGAUUCCAGCUCUCAGGAUUGUUUAUUUAUUCUAGCCUCCAGCAACUAAAUCUGAAGUGUUUUUCAGGAUCUGCUGCAUAUGUUAUUGAAACACUAUUUGACAUUGAAGUAUGUAAGAAUCAGCUAAUCGAGUGGAUGAUUUCAGCUAAUGCAGAUGUUAUCAGCAUAUUUCUUGUAAAUGUGAAUGGACUAUUAAGAUGAAACAAUGAGGAAACCUUACUUAAUGUUUCAACAGUUAUAAACUUAUUGGCUGCUUCAUUUGAAGGUCGACUGUGGUUGUUGAAGCAGUAUGAAUUUGAUGACACUAUUCAACUUUUAUGUGAUAUGCUUCAGUCAUCUUGUAUGUCUUUAACACAUAAUGCAUCUCUUGUCAUAGCAAGAUAUGCGCUCUAACUAGUGAAGGAAACGGAUUAGCAGCUUAUUUGAUAGGAACAACAAAUACUCUUGAUUAUUUUGCACCCUCACCUCCUCGAUUACAUGUUCAUGGUAAAACAGAGAUUUUUAUUGAGUGGGAUCCUCCUAAAAAUCUUCUUGGCAGAUAAAAUUAUUAUGAACUUAGAAUGGAUAACAUGGUAUUUCGUUAAUAUGAAUCAUCUGGCAAGUACUGCUCAUGUUGUAGUUAAAUUCCUUGAAAAAACAUGGAAAAAAAAACAUGGAAAAGAAUGUAUUGAUGUCAUUCCUAUUUUAUGGGUGUAUUAUGAAAAAGUCAAAUUAUUCUGUAAAUACCCAUCUGAAAACGAAUAUCAUGCGCUAGAAAAAAUGAGUAAAAUGUAAUUAAUACCAGGAGUUUUGUGGAAGAGUUUUGAAAUUGUUUUAAUUAAAGAAGCAAAAAGCUAUGAACAAGGAUUGCGACGUAUGAUUAGGGCAUGCUCUGAAUUUGUAGUUCAGAGCAGUAAUUUUGAAGAUUUAAACAGUUCAGAAGAAGAAUCUGCUCCUGUUAAAUUAAGCAACUCUGAGCUUAAAGCAUCUUUAAAAGAUAUCUCUUCGUUUAAAGAGCAUGAGUCCUUUGUUUCCUUUAAAGUAAAGAAAAGGCGAUUGUCAUGUUGUGAUGAAGAAUAUAAUGAUUCUUUGUCCUCAUCUCCUAAAAUAAAGACCUAUAAAUGUAACCCAGAGAGAAAAAACCAAAUGAUAAAGACUUCCGGUAUAUCACAUGAAGACUCCAAGAAAAAUUUAAACGAAGACAAAAUAAAUAAAAAAGAUCAUAGUAAAAGAGUCUUUUGUUUCCUUUGAAGUAAAGAAAAAGCGAUCGUCAUGUCGUGAUGAAGAAUCUAAUGAUUCUUUGUCCUCAUCUGCGAAAAUAAAGAAGAUAUUGACCUCUAAAUGUAAACCAGGGAAACGAAACGAAAUGAUAAAGAAUUCUAGUGUGUCACAUGAAAACUCCAGGAAAAGUUUAAAUGAAAAUAAAAUAAAGAAAAAAGAUGUGAUACUUAAUCCAAAUUAUAAGUAUUGCCCUACAUGUGGCUGUGCAGGUAAGGAUAUUGUUAGAAAUGUUUUUAUCUACAAUUCUUAAUUUGUUGUAAAUAAUUAAUUUAAUUUUCACUUAAUUAAGAAAAUGACAUUAUGGAAACUUUAUGUUUAAACCACACCAGUGUGGAAAUGGACUUUAUUAUAUUAUUUAUUCAUUUAUAACAUUGAAAAAAAACUACAUGAUGAUAAUGUAAUAAAUACUGAUUUAUUCAUUUAAAAUGAAUGGUAGUUUUUCUUUACUAAUGAGAACAUUUAUAUUUUCAUGAAAACUAAAAAUGCUCCUGCAUCGAAAGCUAAUCUGGAAUCUGCCAGGAGAAGUAUCGAAUAUCGUAUUAGAGAGGAAGCGAAAAUCACAAGAGCGUAGUGUUCACAAUAACACAGUUGAUAUUCAAAAAAUUAUAUCCGAACAGACAAUUAACGAAUUACCAUUCAACGAUGUAGAAAGCUUCCUUGAUUUUGAUAAUAAAUUAAAGACUGAUACAGUAAUGAUGCAAAAACUGAAAUGCUUUAUCAUGUUAAAUGUGAAAAGUACAUCAAAACUUUCGGAAAAUUUUUCUUUUAUAAUUCCUAAGAUUAUUUUACCAAGUAUUCAAGUACCCUACAGUGCUUUUGGGCGAGAAUCAAAAGGUGUAAAAAAGUUAAAUUUUUCUGGCACAGAAACUUAUAGAUAUUUGCUAGAAGUAGUUACAAUGAAAUUUUCUGACAUAAAUGAAAAAGAAAUUUCAAGUCAAAUAAGUCGCUGGUUUUCAGGUGCAAAGGAUAGAGAUGGUGGAAAGAGAUACCGAUUAUUAAAUAAAAAAAGUCGUGAAGAGCGAAAAUAAAGACUCUAUAAACUCUACAAUAUUAUGUAUUUGUAAUUAUACAAA